rnacentral:rRNA from 1 species
GUAGGGGACGAGCGUUGUCCGGAUUCAUUGGGCGUAAAGCGCGCGUAGGCGGCUCGGAAAGUCGGUCGUGAAAUGCCGGGGCUCAACCCCGGGACUGCGUCCGAUACUUCCGGGCUGGAGGUAGGUAGGGGAGAUCGGAAUUCCUGGUGUAGCGGUGAAAUGCGCAGAUAUCAGGAGGAACACCGGUGGCGAAGGCGGAUCUCUGGGCCUUACCUGACGCUGAGGCGCGAAAGCUAGGGGAGCGAACAGGAUUAGAUACCCUGGUAGUCCUAGCCGUAAACGUUGGGUGCUAGGUGUGGGCGGACAUCGACCCCGUCCGUGCCGAAGCUAACGCAUUAAGCACCCCGCCUGGGGAGUACGGCCGCAAGGCUAAA